GACGGAGGAUGCAAGCGUUAUCCGGAAUGAUUGGGCGUAAAGCGUCCGCAGGUGGCAGUUCAAGUCUGCUGUCAAAGACCGGGGCUUAACUUCGGAAAGGCAGUGGAAACUGAACAGCUAGAGUAUGGUAGGGGCAGAGGGAAUUCCUGGUGUAGCGGUGAAAUGCGUAGAGAUCAGGAAGAACAUCGGUGGCGAAGGCGCUCUGCUGGACCAUAACUGACACUCAUGGACGAAAGCUAGGGGAGCGAAUGGG
rnacentral:rRNA from 1 species